AAUAAAGCAAUCUGUACUUGACAUCGAACGGUUUCCAAGAACAGGUGUGGACGAGCACACACUAAACAACUUUCUUGGAAGACUAGCACGUAGGCUUAGGCGUGCUGCAGCUCGGUGCGGUUGCGGUACUAGUGCUGCGAUGAAUGUGCAUGUGCCACAGGAACGACAAUGCAACACACCUGUUGUGCAUGGUACAUCUUCUUUGGGAGGAUCUGGAGGACAGAGCUCGUCUCGGCCAACUAUGGACACUUUUCAAAGCGAUGAUGAUGAGGACGAAGAGGGGGUGGCCGAGGAGCGUGACUAUGACGAGCUUGGGUUAUCUCAGCUUCCUGAUGCUCCUUCUACUCAGCCUACGCAGGUUGCAAGAAGGCGACGUCGUUCGCCUUCUAGGUACACUCCAGGCACCGAUGCUCUUGGCCACAAGGGUAAGGGUAAGACUAGGA